GAUGAACGCUAGCGGCAGGCCUAAUACAUGCAAGUCGAGGGGCAGCAGGAAUAGCAAUAUUUGCUGGCGACCGGCGCACGGGUGCGUAACACGUAUACAAUCUGCCUUCUACAGGGGGAUAGCCUUUCGAAAGAGAGAUUAAUACCCCAUAACACAAGAAAUAGCAUUAUUUUUUGUUGAAAGAUCCGUCGGUAGAAGAUGAGUAUGCGGGUGAUUAGCUAGUUGGUGAGGUAACGGCUCACCAAGGCAACGAUCACUAGGGGAUCUGAGAGGACGACCCCCCACACUGGUACGGAGACACGGACCAGACUCCUACGGGAGGCAGCAGUAAGGAAUAUUGGACAAUGGAGGCAACUCUGAUCCAGCCAUGCCGCGUGCAGGAUGAAGGCCCUAUGGGUCGUAAACUGCUUUUGUACGAGAGAAAACCUAUUUACGUGUAGAUAGUUGAUAGUAUCGUAAGAAUAAGGAUCGGCUAACUUCGUGCCAGCAGCCGCAGUAACAC
rnacentral:rRNA from 1 species